AACGAACGCUGGCGGCAGGCUUAACACAUGCAAGUCGAGCGCCCCGCAAGGGGAGCGGCAGACGGGUGAGUAACGCGUGGGAACGUACCUUUUGGUUCGGAACAACUCCGGGAAACUGGAGCUAAUACCGGAUAAGCCCUAACGGGGAAAGAUUUAUCGCCGAAAGAUCGGCCCGCGUCUGAUUAGCUAGUUGGUGAGGUAACGGCCCACCAAGGCGACGAUCAGUAGCUGGUCUGAGAGGAUGAUCAGCCACACUGGGACUGAGACACGGCCCAGACUCCUACGGGAAGCAGCAGUGGGGAAUAUUGGACAAUGGGCGCAAGCCUGAUCCAGCCAUGCCGCGUGAGUGAUGAAGGCCUUAGGGUUGUAAAGCUCUUUUGUCCGGGAAGAUAAUGACUGUACCGGAAGAAUAAGCCCCGGCUAACUUCGUG
rnacentral:rRNA from 1 species